AUCCAGAUGACCAGUCCCAAAGAGGACGAAACGCGCAUCCUGGAU
rfam:Schistosoma rodhaini strain Burundi genome assembly, scaffold: SROB_scaffold0003855